ACGUACAAGUCGCAAACUGGAGGUACUCAGUCGAGAAGUGAACAUUCUAGCCCUAAAGCAAGCAGGAGACCGUUCUAUUACUUCUGUGCUAGUCUACAUUGAUUGCCACCGACGAUUUUGUUUCGCUUUUGGCAGAAGUGAAAUUAGGGGCUUUGCUUGGUAUUUUGCAGCUCCAACUAAAAUAAUGGUUGAAUCCUUCUUGAUUUUGUGAAAUUCAACUGCUUGAAGAGAAAUUGGUGUUUCAGCCGGCUUAUCUUUUCUUUGUUAAUAUGUUUUUCAUAGCAGCUCCAUCUCCAUAAGUGAGGACUCAAAGAAGUCAUUAAAGUGAUAUUUUAGGGCUAUGUCCAGCGGCAUCCCAACCUCAAUCAUCAACUUUGGAAUAUAUCAGCGAGACAACAAAGACUACUGCUGUAAAUUAAUGGGAAUGGAGACAACUGAUCGGGUGACUUAAAAUUCUUUACCAGUAACUCAUGUUGGUAUUAGCUACUAUAAUUUUCCAAACAAAGUUUUAAGCUCUAUUACUCAAAACUUAAGUUUUAAAGAGAUAAUACUAUGUUAUAUACUUUUGCUGUCAAGUAACUACUGCUUUGUAAAUCCAAAUAGAAAUAGUGAUAGCCUUGUCAUAUAGUUAAAUUGUUAGAAGAAAUUUCUGUUUCUUAUUGAUGUAUCCCCUCAAACUGAUUCAGACUUUGUUAAAGGCUUAUUUAAUCAACCUAUUUAUAUGAGCUUUUUACAGAUAAAUCUUUAUUCUUUUAAGUCAAACUACUUAUAAACAAACCCUAUUUAUAAGUUAAACAUAGUUACUUAAAUGAAAAAGGUCUACAAAUAACUAUAAAUUGGGAUUGCCAUUGUCAGCUAGCAUAUACUUGUUCUUGAUAUAGACGAAAUGACAGGCUCACUAAUGCAAUCCAUAAAAUUUGAAGCUUUACUGUUCCUGAUGGUGAGUUAGUAUUUGUUACGGUUUCCAUAGUCAUUUUCAGCUGCAACGUAUACUACAGCUCUUCAAUUUCAACUCUCCGUUCUCCUAUUGCUAUCAGAAGAGUGGUGAUCUUCAAGAGGAACACAGAGAAAAUCAUAUUUUAGCCGUACAUGUUCUGUGAUGUUCUUUCUGUAAGUAACUUAUUUUUAGGCGAUUCGUGUUCCCCUUACAUUAAAGGGCAAUCUUAAGAAUUAGCUUGUUCGGGCAAAUAUUGUUUCUAACACAAUAUACAGCAUUAAUACAAUCAUCGUGCAGAAUUAGCUUGUAACUCGAUUUCUUUUCUCAUCUUGUUAUUAAUGAUCUUUCUUUCCAUUUCUAGAUGGGUUCAGGACUACACUGGACCUACGUACUACUUCUAUUCCUCUCUUAAUGAUAUAUUCCAUUAGAUAGAUAUAUGUUUCCAGUGUGAUAGUUGUGUUACAUAUGCAGAUGCAGGUUAAUGGACUUUCAGGUGCAGAAAAGUUCCUUUCCUUCUCUUUGUGCUGUUCUGCAUGUUCAUUGGGUCAGGUAGCCCUGCAGACUGAAAUGCUUCCCUAUGUUAGUACCACAAAGUACUAUAAGUUGCUACAGAAAAUUGCGCUAUCAUUUUAUUUCAACCCAAAAUAACAUGCUUUAUAACUUUGUAUUGAAAUGUUAGGUUGCGUAUUCUCUAUGGACCGAAAUUAGUAACUUCAUAAGUUCACUUUUACGAACUCUUUUGGUAUUUGUUUAGAAAACUUUUUUGUAAUUUAUUAUCAAUCUUUACUCAUUUUUACCAGUAAGUCUUGUUGGUAUUAGUUGUAACUUUUCCAACAAAAUUUUAAGCAGUGCUUACUAUUUUGUAUUAACAUAUUUAUCUUUAGCUGUUAAUUCUUUCAUCUAAAUGUUCAUGUUUUAAAGUACAUUUGGUGACUAAUUGUAUGCUUUUUUUGGCAAAAUCUUGUUGAUAUUGUGGAUCUUUAAGCCAUGACUGCUGAAGGAAGCAGGAUUGGAGGUAGAAUGACAGACGUGGAAACUACAUCAGAUUUCCACUGACAUUCCAACAAUAGUUAAAAAAGCGGCACUGCAUCAGCAGAGGAUUUGACCUUGGUAGAUGCACUAUCGCUUUCCUGGAUUUUGCUUUAUUUGAGAUAGAUAACCGUCGCCCAUGUUUGUGCUGAUAGCAGGAUCUAUAAUACAACUGUAUGGUAUAUCUCUCAGGUAAAGUUUUUCUUCUCACAAUCUGAUAUAAGGUUUUAAUUUUUUCUAGACGUGGAAUGGAAUUGGCCUGGCUAAUGAAAAAAAUUGUUGUUAGGACUAUGGGGUACCAACUUGGCAAAAACUUCAGAUAGGUGUGAUUGGUAAUAAUCAAUCUCUAUAUUGCUAAAUGAUAUAAUCAUUGAUAAGCAGGUCAUUACCACAUAACUUGAUACAUUCAACUGAUUUAGAUAAAACGAUGCAUUUCUUUCGAGUUAUGGCUUAACUAGGGGGAUCGAGCUAUGAAUUGAUGGAAAUUUUCUUUUUGUUCUUCACUGAGGCCGAGCCUUGGCGCAGCGGUAACAGUUAUUGCUGCAUGACUAGGAGCUCAUGGGUUCACAGCAAGAAACAUUCUCUGACAGAAAUGCAAGAUAAGACUACAUAUAAAACUGUAUAGAAAUGUGAUCCAGCCUUUUUCCGCCGUUCUCUGCUCUCUAUUCCUCACUGCCUCCGCCAAGUUAUUUGAAUCCAUUUUGUAGGGACAGUACAGAACAACAAAUGAUAUCAAUGUGAUCUGGCCUUUCCCUAAACUUGGUCCAUUAGCGAGAACUUAGUGUAUCGAUCUGGCAUUUUAUAUUCUCUGUUCCUUGCUAGCCCCUGCAAUUUAUUUGAAUAGCGACAUUAUAGAACAGACCAAUGAUAUCAAUCUGCUUAUCUGCUGGUAUGGAUACAAGGGCAUACCGCUUGAGUUGCUUGAAAGAAACUAACAUUUUUUAGAUUGAUUUGCCAGAGGUCUUGCAGAUUAAAACUACUGUUCUAAAAGAGGCAAUCAAUGAAUAAAAACACCCAAUGCUGACACCAAAAUCAUUGAAGAGAGUGAAAAGAUUGGUUUGAAAAGCUUCAAUCAUCAGAUUUAGAGCUAAAGAAGAAUACAAUGUGGGUAUUAGAGGGAAUCAUCUACGAUCUAUCACACUCUCAUGCAAUGGAAGUACUUAAUGUUAUUGCAAAUAACUGUGCCUCUGGUCAUACAGUACUUUUAGCAGAUCUCAUGAACAAGCAAUCAACCACAAUGUGCAGUUCCAUUUUCCAUUUCUAUAGUGAUUGGCCUCUUCUGUUGUUGCCAUCACUAGGAUUUUCUCAAGUUAAUCUAUGCACUACAGAUAUUCUUUUAUGCCUUUGUAAAAAAUACUUACAUUUGGAAUGCAUAGUAGCACCAAGAAAGCUAAAAGAAUGCAACACCAGCUUAUCUUUGUUAUUGAAGGACUGUAAGCAUAAGUAUAUUGAUCUCUUUUAACUUCUGGAAUUAUAUUCUACUGCGAUGUAGAUCAAGGAAAAUUUCAUUAUCUGGGA